AUCCAAAGGUAACACGAUACUAGAUGCAACGUUCGAAACCACGAAAACCUCUCCCUCUCGGCCAUGGAAGUCUGAGAAAGAAGAGAAAAAUAUUAGAGAGAGAGACGAAGAAAAUGGCCUUCCUUUUUCCCAAAAUCUCUUCCUCUCCCCUCCUCCCCCAUCCCAACCCUUCCCAAAAUACCCCUUCUCGGCUCCUCCUCUCUUCUUCCUCUCUCACCAAGCUCGAGUCCCCUCCCGUGCGCGAUGCCCCGCGCGAGAAGCACCCCGCGUUGCACGGCAAGUCCCCUGCCGCGUUGCAAGAAACCAAGAAGAAGAACGAGAAGAGAAACAGGAACAAAGACGACUUCUACCUCAACCUCGGCCUCGCCGUCCGCACCCUCCGUGACGACCUCCCCUCCCUCUUCUCGAAAGACCUCAAUUACGACAUCUACCGUGAUGAUAUCACCUUCGUCGAUCCGCUCAGUACCUUUCGUGGAAUCGAGAACUAUAAGUUGAUCUUCUGGGCGCUCCGAUUCCAUGGCCGAAUUUUGUUUAGAGAGAUCGGGCUGGAGAUUUUUCGGGUCUGGCAGCCGUCAGAGAAUAUGAUCUUGAUCCGGUGGGAGCUGCAGGGGGUCCCCCGGGUGCCAUGGCAGGCAAGGGGACGGUUUCAGGGAACGUCGAGGUAUAGAUUGGAUCGGAAUGGGAAGAUAUAUGAGCAUAAAGUUGAUAACUUGGCGUUCAAUUUCCCCCAGGCGGUGGUCGGACCAGCGACCGUGAUGGAUUUGGUGGCUCCCGCAUGCCCGCCGAGCCCUAAUUUGACGUUUUGGGGGGUGGCCAUGGAGGGUUCUGGGGUUCUAGGGUCAUGCUCGUGGUUGGAGCUUUAUCGGGCGGUUAGGGGGACUCUGGAGCAAGAGGAGCAGGUUCUGGUGGGGAUUGGUAUGGAGAAUUUGGUCACUUGUUCAUAGCUGGCACAUUGGAAGGAAGCUGGUAAUGUAUAUAAGAAGGGUGGGAGGGCAAUGUUAUGGCUGUAUGGAUGCUUCGCAUCCAUUGGUCACGGACAUCUUAAUGUCUGCCAGAAAGUAAUAAGGGACGAAGAAAGGUGAGGAGAGAAAAUGUUGAUUGAAUGGUAUGCCGAUAUCCUGCGAUCCUCAAACUUCAGGAACAACAAACUCCUUCCCAGAAGUGAUUCAUCCCUAAAAUUUAGGGAUCACCUAAGCCCUUCUUUUCCAAAUCAGGUGAGCUUCUCCUUCCCACCUCUGCACACAUCCUUGCCUUUCUACUAUCCCUCCAACUUUCUGUCGAUGUUAACUUAUCCAUGAAUAUUGGAUGCAAAGCAUCCAAGCAGGCUCUUAGUGAGUCAUGGUGCUCAAAACCUAACAUCCUCCACCUUCAAAGUUGAGAUGUUGCUAUAGAUGGUUAUCCUUCAUGCCUCAAUAGCACUUCACAGGGGAUCACCAAAUAGCCUCAUUAUUGGGAUGAGACCUUUCUUUUUAUUUCUUUAAUCUUGAGAGGCAUACUGGUGUCUUGUACAUGACCAAGUACUCCAAGUCUCCAAUAUAAGGUUCAAAUAGUUGCUUCAUAAGCAAAACAGUUACUAGGUUUGGGCUCCAAAGUCGGUUUUCACCAAAUCUGAACAUUUUAAUUUUAUCUGUUGGUCCCUUUCAGAUUUGAGUACAGCAUUGUUUGUAUUUUCGCUUGUGGGGUUAAAUCAGCCAUUGGUAUAGGAGGAUUAACUGUGCUAACUCAGUUUAUUGAUAGACAUAUAAUUGAUGGAAUUGCAAAAUGGUAUGGAUUUGAAUCUUUUUAACCUCUAUGACUUUCACCAAGUUCAUUAGUGGCUCAUGUAUUACUAGCAUCAACUAAAUAAGUUUCAUAUCCUCCUUUUUUAGGGGCAUAGGGUUGCCUGUGCAAGUGUGCAUAAAUAUUUUUUCAGGAAUUCUCCAUGCAUAGGUGGAACAGGCUGCUUCUUGUGGCCUUCAAACAAUUGCUACCUUCUGCAUGGCAAUUAGGGAUAACAGGUCUUCCCAAGGCUAAAACCAUUUCACCAUAUUCGAAGUUUUAUGUUCAGAUCAAGUUAUUGUAAGCUUUUGCCAUUUGGGCUUGACGUAGCUCUAUAAUUUGCUGAACCACAAAGUUGACUUCAUCAAGGGCAUCAAGCUCUUCAAAGCAUAACUGUGAAAUCUUUAUCGGUUGGCUGCCCAUUUGCAAUGUGAUGCCUAGAGAAGAAAUUCCUAUCUCCAGUGAAAGCACUUCCUUAACCCCAAAUACCAAAGAAUAAGGCAUAGUUUGAGUUGGGGUCUGAUAUGCGGUUCAGUAAGCUUAAAAUGUUUUGUAAAAUCUUAGGUUCCAAUCCCACCAGUUUUUUUGUCACCAUUGCAUAUCAAGCUUUGAGGUUGAAGGCAUCAACCAGGCUAUUUUCCCUUGCAUUAUAAAUGGAUGGGUGUUGGUUAUCAAUUUUAUGUCGAUUAGAAAACCUUCCAAAUUUAGAAUUGUGGAUGGCAAGACCAUUAUCAGAAAUGAGUCGACAUGGGAUCCUGAUAUGAUCUGAGGUAUUAUCUUAGGAGAAUUAUGUAGUGGUAUUUUUCUUUGGCCUCCAUCAGGGGCUUUUCUGCAGCCCAUCUGGAGAAGUAUUUUGUGGCUGCAAGAAUGAACCUAAACCUGCCUUAUGGUGGCAGUUCUACAUAUCCAUAUAUCAAAUAAUAUCAGUUCCCCAUAUUAUAGUGUUCCAACGUAUCCCGAGUCUGACUAACGAGAAAGGGAAGAAAAGAUCAUAUUUUUAUCGUAUAAAUUUACCAAAUCUAAAGUAUCUGAAACUUAAAAAGAAAUUAGAUGAAGCUGAAAAGAUCUUUCUAGAGCUGGAUGAGCUGAAUGAAUUAUCCAAUUUAUAUUUAAUCUUGGCCAUAAGAGGUGUAAAGGAUCUUAGGCUUGUAAACAAUUCAUCUGGUUUAAGUUUUCUAGUCUUGAUAAAAGGGUCUAUUUACGAACUUCUUGCAAAACAAGUGAUGCACAAGUCUUCUUUUACAUCAUUUCCCAUCGUAGUCUUUCAUUUAUCGAUCAACAUUUUCAUGAAUCAUUCUAUAGGUCAUUUAAUUUGUAGUACAUUGGCUUCACCUAGUAUUACCUUCGUAGUCAACCAUGCUUCCAAUUUUUGCAAGCUCUAAGUAUUAGAUGUCCCUAAUUGUUUAAAUGUGAUUCAGUAUUAGGCUGUCAAAUCUAUUAAAGAUUGCCCUGUAUGUUCUCUUCCUACUUAAGCCUUUCUAGAUAUAGUGAUGUUGAUUCGAUAGGCUAUGUGGAGGACUGUCGAGCAUGACUUUGGACCUACACAGUCCUAAAUCAUCUCCCAUAUGUUAAAAGGUCCAUAAGCUUACUAUGAUUGUCAAUUUUGAACCUAGUUAAUCUACUUUAGAAAUCCCUUUUUUGUAGAUCCUUGUGAAGAGCUUCAUUCUGACGGUGAAGUUGACAAAUAAAUUGUUCCAAGCAGGAAAACCACUUCAACCUCCCUGCAGGAUAAAAGUUAUCCUCGUACUACCCUUAAUCCCAUAAAUCAAAUAUUUAACAUCAAGUUUUCAUGAAACAGAUGAAACAAUCAGAUAGCUGGCUAAUAAUAUUUAUAUUACCAUUUGUGGAUGAUUCACAUGGUUUAAAAUUUUCUAACAUAUUCAUGGGCUUAAGCAUCCAGUUAUGCUUCAAAUCUGCAAUUCUUUUAUUUCUAUCUAACAUAUUUGACAGUAUGUGGUUGGUGGUCAUGAACAAUAUUAGAGUUCACAGCAAGCUUGGAUCUUGACUUCCUAAUUCUUUGGCUGGAAUUUGGUAAUUGCUUAUGGUCUAGAAUUGGUCUAUUGUUAUUGUUAUCAUAGACAUAAAAGCGAACUUGAGACUUCUAAGUUGCUGCAAUGCUAGUUGAAUAAUAUUAAUGAUGAAGAGGCAGAAAGUCUAGUGAUUGGCAGGAGGUGAAAUGCUUGUAGGGAUUGGCAGCAUAUGAGUGCAGGUAGCCUUCAUGGAAAUACAGUAGCCUCCAUCUGAUUUCAGAAAGGGUGUGAAAGUUUGGUCUGGUACCAUCAUUAUAAGAGCAUUAUGGCCUCUGUUGGAAAUCCAUGAUACCAUGGUUUCAAAUGAUACUUGAGAGCAUGAUGUGGGGUGGGAGUAGUGGGAGGGGUGCCAUUGGGUUGAUCUGAUGAAUGUGAUAAUUUUAUAAACUAAGUGAGGCUUUGGUCAUUGCAAUGUGAUACAAAAACUUCUUUCCUAUUGUAUCAAUUCUGAUGGUUUACCAACCCAAUGGAAAAGAAAGUGCUUUAGUUAUGCAAACCUACUUUGACUUUGUUCUGUAAUGGACAAACCUACAUGUUGAUACGAGACUAUGUUUUCUUUUGGAUUGCUUUUAAGAUGAGUGUUUUGAAAACUAGUAAUCAUGGUGGAAAUGAAACUUAACGAGUACUAUAGAUGAUUAGACUGUGAACAUAGUUAUAUUCUUCAUUACUUAUUCAAUUUUCAUAUCGUAAUGAAGAUAUAGCACGUGGAAGAAAUUCUCAGGUCCUAAUAACUUUUAGAACUGGAAUGUUUCAAAUUUAACAAAGUAAACAUUUGAACAAAUCUGCUGACCUCAAUGAGAAAUCUACCAAAAUGGGCGAUAAGGAAAGAUU